AAUGGAAGCAAUUUGUAACUUUCAGUAGCUCUCUAGGCCUGGGUACCGGAGGGAGGGAGGCGGGCAGAGGAGGGGAGAUGGGCACCCCCAGUCUUUCCAUCCUCCUCAUUCGUCUAGGGGCACCCGAAUCCCCUAUUCCUUAUUUCCCCUAUCACUCAGGCACUGGCAGGGUCCUUUGCCCACUCCUGUUGGCCGCUGCGGCUCCAAAGCGAGCUGGGCAGAUGUGCCUGAGACAGGUUUGACCAGGCAACUGAAAAGACAUCCCUAAGAGAAGACAAAGCAAAGGUAUGAAAGGAACACACGUCCCUGACUGACUAGGAGGAACAGAGCUGCCUGCUAUCCGGAACAACUUCCUCCCAGACUAAGUGAGAAAUAAACUUCUGUUUUCUAUA